GGUAGAGAAUACCAAGGCGCUUGAGAGAACUCGGGUGAAGGAACUAGGCAAAAUGGUGCCGAACUUCGGGAGAAGGCACGCUGGCAUGUAGGUGAAGUCCCUCGCGGAUGGAGCUGAAGCCAGUCGAAGAUACCAGCUGGCUGCAACUGUUUAAUAAAAACACAGCACUGUGCAAACACGAAAGUGGACGUAUACGGUGUGACGCCUGCCCGGUGCUGGAAGGUUAAUUGAUGGGGUCAGCCGCAAGGCGAAGCUCUUGAUCGAAGCCCCAG
rnacentral:rRNA from 1 species